UACGAAGGGUGCUAGCGUUGUUCGGAAUCACUGGGCGUAAAGCGUGCGUAGGCGGCUUGGCAAGUCCGAUGUGAAAGCCCGGGGCUCAACCCCGGAUGUGCAUUGGAAACUGCUUUGCUGGAGAUCGGAAGGGGUAAGUGGAAUUCCUAGUGUAGAGGUGAAAUUCGUAGAUAUUAGGAGGAACACCAGUGGCGAAGGCGACUUACUGGUCCGAUACUGACGCUGAGGCACGAAAGCGUGGGGAGCAAACAGG
rnacentral:rRNA from 1 species